GGACUGCUAGCUCAGUUGGUUCAGAGCAUUACCUUGACAGGGUAGGGGUCGCCGGUUCGAGCCCGGCGCAGUCCA
rnacentral:tRNA from 1 species